rnacentral:tRNA from 1 species
GAGUCCAUAGCUCAGGGGUAGAGCGUUCGGUUCACAUCCGAAAGGUCGAUGGUUCAAAUCCAUCUGGACUCAC